UACAGAGGUCUCGAGCGUUGUUCGGAUUCAUUGGGCGUAAAGGGUGCGUAGGUGGCGUGGUAAGUCUGGUGUGAAAUCCCGGGGCUCAACCCCGGAACUGCACUGGAUACUGCCAUGCUUGAGUACUGGAGAGGAGAUUGGAAUUUACGGUGGUAGCAGUGAAAUGCGUAGAUAUCGUAAGGAAGACCAGUGGCGAAGGCGAAUCUCUGGACAGUUACUGACACUGAGGCACGAAGGCCAGGGGAGCAAACGGG
rnacentral:rRNA from 1 species